GACGAACGCUGGCGGCGUGCCUAAUACAUGCAAGUAGGACGCAGUUGCGAACGGGUGAGUAACGCGUUGGUAACUGCCUAUUAGAGGGGGAUAACUAUUGGAAACGAUAGCUAAUACCGCAUACUAGUAGAUGGACCUGCGUUGUAUUAGCUAGUAGGUAGGGUAAUGGCCUACCUAGGCGACGAUACAUAGCCGAGCUGAGAGGGUGGUCUGGCACACUGGGACUGAGACAAGGGCGAGACUCCCACGGGAGGCAGCAGUAGGGGAACUUCGGGAAUGGGGGGAACCCUGAACAAGCAACGCCGCGUGAGUGAAGAAGGGUUUCGGAUCGUAAAGCUCGGUUGUUAAGGAAGCGGUACUUAACCAGAAAGGGACGGCUAACUACGUGCCAGCAGCCGCGGUAAUUC
rnacentral:rRNA from 1 species